AUUGAACGCUGGCGGCAUGCUUUACACAUGCAAGUCGAACGGUAACAGGCCGCAAGGUGCUGACGAGUGGCGCACGGGUGAGUAAUGCAUCGGAACGUGCCCAGUCGUGGGGGAUAACUACUCGAAAGAGUAGCUAAUACCGCAUACGAUCUAUGGAUGAAAGCGGGGGACCGUAAGGCCUCGCGCGAUUGGAGCGGCCGAUGUCAGAUUAGGUAGUUGGUGGGGUAAAGGCUCACCAAGCCAACGAUCUGUAGCUGGUCUGAGAGGACAACCAGCCACACUGGGACUGAGACACGGCCCAGACUCCUACGGGAGGCAGCAGUGGGGAAUUUUGGACAAUGGGCGCAAGCCUGACCCAGCAAUGCCGCGUGCAGGAAGAAGGCCUUCGGGUUGUAAACUGCUUUUGUACGGAACGAAACGGCUCUGGUUAAUACCCGGGGCUAAUGACGGUACCGUAAGAAUAAGCACCGGCUAACUACGUG
rnacentral:rRNA from 1 species